rnacentral:rRNA from 1 species
AACGAACGCUGGCGGCAGGCUUAACACAUGCAAGUCGAACGGGUGUAGCAAUACAUCAGUGGCAGACGGGUGAGUAACACGUGGGAACCUUCCUAGGGGUACGGAACAACUCAGGGAAACUUGAGCUAAUACCGUAUACGUCCGUGAGGAGAAAGAUUUAUCGCCCUUAGACGGGCCCGCGUCGGAUUAGGUAGUUGGUGGGGUAACGGCCUACCAAGCCUACGAUCCGUAGCUGAUCUGAGAGGAUGAUCAGCCACACUGGGACUGAGACACGGCCCAGACUCCUACGGGAGGCAGCAGUGGGGAAUCUUGGACAAUGGGCGCAAGCCUGAUCCAGCCAUGCCGCGUGAGUGAAGAAGGCCUUC